rnacentral:lncRNA from 1 species
CUGAUUAUCAAUUUUUGGACUCAAAGCAUCUUCAAAACAUUGGGGAUCCAGCUUAUCCCUGAGAGACAUCAGCCAUCACUAAAAGUUUUCACUCUUUGAACUAUUCAUUCACAUUUUGUUGCAGAAAACAGGACACAGUUCCAGAGAUAUCCUUGCUUUCUUUUUUUUUUUUAUCCUUCCUUUCUUCUUUCUAAAAUAUACUCACAAGCAGGGUCUUUUCAUAGUUCAAAAGAAAAACAAAUAGCUUUCUUUCUUGGCUAGUUGGCCUGUUACUCUCACCCUGGAAUCUGAUCUCUCAAUAAGAAGGCCCAGAGCACCAAAUUCAAGCAGAAAUUCCAAGGACAUCACUUUACUUGUCAUUCUAUGAAGUUGCUUGACUCUGAAGAUUCUGAGCUGUCCCAGCCUAUGUCCAUGAAGGAUUGUAAAGAGCCCUCAAUUCACCUGUGCUCUCCCAAGAGAGAGCUAGCACAUUAUAGGGUGGUGGCAACCCACCAUUUUUAGCACCAACUGCUGAAAGAUAGAAAAGAAAAGAAUUGAGGAUUCUCAGAAAAGAGAAGACUUGAAGGUAACCAUGUAAGAUUUAUUCUAUAGCCUCAA